rnacentral:rRNA from 1 species
CACACAGCUCGUCUCAAACGGAGUUAAAAAAGGGGAAAUCUUUAUUAUAGACAAAAGAAAAACAUCCAUUUCCGACGUACGAAGCCGAACCCGAAAGUUUUCCUCUCGAGAGGAGAGGAGAGGAGAGGAGGAGAGAAACCCUCGGCACGCCUCCGGCGAACGCGACACGAUGGUGGAGACUCGCCGGAGCUCCGCCGCCAAGCGCCCCUCCUCUACGUCACCGCCCCCCGGCUCCCCCUCCGCCUCCGCCCCUCCCCCGAAGCGCCCCAAGGCGGAACCUCCGGCGUCGCCGACGUCGUCUGCGCCCGGAAGGGCCGAGGAGGAUUCGGAGGCGGCCGCGGCCACCAGGAGCGCCGGCUUGGCGGACGACGCCCUGACACCGGCGAUCAAAGAUCAAGGAGGGGAUAAGCGGGCGGCUGCUGCUGCUGCUGAGAGCUCGCGUAGGAGGAAGGAAACGCCACCGCAGCAGCAUGCGGCGCCAUGGGCCAAGCUGCUCUCGCAGUGCUCACAGAGUCCUCAUCUUCCUAUCAGUGUCCCUCAAUUUUCUGUUGGCCAAAGCAAAAGAUGUAAUCUAUUGUUGAAAGACCAAUCUGUCAGCGAAAUACUUUGCAAGCUGCGGCACGUUGAGCAAGGAGGUCCGUGCGAGUUAGAGGUUAUAGGCGACAAGGGUGUGGUCCUAUUAAAUGGAAGGGCCGUAAAUCCAGGCAUGAAAGUUCCCCUUACUGGAGGGGAUGAAGUCGUAUUCAGUUCAUGCGGCAAACAUGCUUAUAUUUUUCAGCAUCCUUUGAAUGAUAAAGUUGCUAAAGCGGUGACAUCAUCAGCCGUUGGCCUUCUAGAACCUCCAGUUGCCGGUGUCAAGCAUAUCCAUAUGGAGAACAGAACAGAAGUCACUUCGACUGUUGCGGGGACAGAGAUGUUAGCAUCCGUAUCGAGUCAAUCGAAGGACCUACCAGCAGUGCCACCUGCAUCAGCUGAGGAGGAGAAUCAGAGAGUAGUGCAACCUAUCAUAUCAUCUGCUUCUGAUAAAUCAAAAGGGCACUGCAUCAGCCCUGAUAAGGAAUGCGAGAAUGGGGAAAACACUAAUGAGGCUAAUUCUAAUAUUGAAGACUCUCCAAUGGAUGUGGCUGCAACCCCCAUAUCUCCUGAUGCUGUUGCUAAUGACACGAGUCGACAAAAUGGCUUUGGAUCUGAUGCUCAUCUUGAUGAAAUCGCUCUUGAAGAUCAGAGGGAUCUCAUCAGGGAUCUUAACACGUCAGCCAGCUUACCUCCGAGCAGAUGCCAAGCCUUUAAGGACGCGAUGAAACAAGGAAUUAUUAGUCCAAGUGAUAUUGAAGUUACAUUUGAGAAUUUCCCCUACUAUCUUAGCGAGAAUACGAAGAAUGUGCUCUUAUCAUGUUCAUUCCUUCAUUUGGAAAAGAAGGAAUUCAUUAAGCAGUUCUCCGAAAUUUCAUCAAUAAACCAGCGAAUUUUAUUAUCUGGUCCAUCAGGUUCUGAGAUUUAUCAGGAAACAUUGAUAAAGGCACUUGCCAAACAUUUUGGUGCUAGACUACUUGUUGUGGAUUCACUCCUGUUGCCUGGGGUGCCUUCAAAGGACCCAGAAACCCAGAAAGAUGUUGGCAAGGCUGAUAAGUCAGGGGACAAGGCAGGUGGUGAGAAAUUGACAAUUCUUCAUAAGCACCGCUCUUCCUUGGCAGACACAAUGCACUUCAGAAGACCAGCUGCACCAACUUCCAGUGUGAAUGCUGAUAUUGUGGGUACAUCCACUCUACAUUCUGCAACUUUGCCCAAACAGGAGUCCUCAACAGCUACAUCCAAGGGCUAUACUUUUAGAGAAGGGGAGAGGGUGAGGUAUGUGGGUCCAGCUCAGACACCUUCAGGCAUACAUCGGGGCCCAAGUUACGGUUAUCGAGGCAGAGUGAUGCUUGCUUUCGAAGAAAAUGGAUCGUCUAAAAUUGGAGUCCGAUUCGACAAGCAGAUCCCUGAUGCUGAAUUGCUCCGCCCAGACUUUUCUGGUAGUGAAGAAGUUGAAAGGCUAGCUAUGACCGAGUUAAUUGAGGUCAUCUCAGAAGAAAGCAAAAUUGGUUCUCUGAUAGUGUUACUAAAGGAUGUAGAGAAAUCAUUCACUGGAAUCACAGAAUCAUUUUCAUCUUUAAGGAACAAACUCGAAUUGCUUCCACCUGGUGUUCUGAUUAUAGGAUCCCACACCCAGAUGGACAGCCGUAAAGAGAAGGCACAUCCUGGUGGAUUUCUUUUUACGAAGUUCGCUAGUAGCAGCCAGACGCUCUUCGACCUUUUCCCGGAUAGCUUUGGUAGUCGGUUGCACGAAAGGAACAAAGAAAGCCCGAAGGCAAUGAAACAUCUAAAUAAACUUUUCCCGAACAAAAUUUCCAUCCAGCUUCCACAGGAUGAAGCAUUACUUACCAGUUGGAAGCAACAAUUGGAUCGUGAUGUUGAAACCCUUAAAGCAAAAUCUAACAUCGGUAGCAUUCGUACGUUUUUGAAUCGCAGUGCAAUCGAAUGCAAUGACCUUGAAGAAUUAUUCAUUAAAGAUCAGUCACUGACUAAUGAAAAUGUGGACAAGAUUGUCGGGUACGCUGUCAGUUAUCAUCUUAAGCACAAUAAAGUCGAAACCUCCAAGGACGGUAAACUUAUUAUCACGAGCGGAAGCCUUAAGCAUGGCCUCGACAUGCUACAGAGCAUCCAUAGUGAUAACAAGAGCUCAAAAAAAUCGUUAAAGGAUGUUGCCACAGAGAACGAGUUUGAGAAAAGGCUUCUGGCAGAUGUUAUACCACCGAAUGAUAUUGGAGUCACCUUUGAUGAUAUUGGUGCGUUGGAGAAUGUAAAGGAAACAUUGAAGGAGUUGGUGAUGCUCCCACUGCAAAGGCCGGAAUUGUUCUGCAAAGGGCAGUUAACGAAGCCUUGCAAGGGAAUAUUGCUCUUCGGGCCUCCUGGCACUGGGAAAACUAUGCUUGCUAAAGCAGUAGCAACUGAAGCAGGCGCCAACUUCAUCAAUAUAUCAAUGUCAAGCAUUACAUCGAAGUGGUUUGGUGAAGGGGAGAAAUAUGUGAAGGCUGUUUUUUCAUUAGCAAGUAAAAUAUCCCCGAGUGUUAUUUUUAUUGAUGAGGUCGAUAGUAUGUUAGGAAGGAGAGAAAAUCCUGGGGAGCAUGAAGCCAUGCGCAAGAUGAAAAAUGAAUUUAUGGUAAAUUGGGACGGGUUGCGAACGAAAGAUAAAGAACGUGUACUGGUUCUUGGUGCCACAAAUAGACCUUUUGACCUGGACGAGGCUGUGAUUAGGAGGUUCCCCCGCAGGCUAAUGGUAAAUUUACCUGACGCAUCAAAUAGAGAGAAAAUUUUGAAAGUUAUUUUAGCAAAAGAAGAGUUGGGACAAGAUACUGAUCUGGAGUCACUUGCUAAUAUGACUGAUGGAUAUUCAGGAAGUGACCUGAAGAAUCUAUGUGUAACUGCAGCGCACUACCCCAUUCGAGAAAUCCUAGAGAAGGAAAAGAAGGAGAAGAAUGUUGCAAAGUCAGAAGGUAGGCCUGAGCCUGCCUUGCAUGGAAGCGAGGACGUCCGUCCUCUUAGUUUGGAUGACUUCAAAUCUGCCCAUGAGCAGGUUUGCGCGAGCGUGUCAUCUGAUUCGGCAAACAUGAAUGAGCUUGUCCAAUGGAACGACCUCUACGGCGAAGGAGGUUCAAGGAAGAAGAAAGCACUGAGCUACUUCAUGUGAGAGCUCUCACAAGAAUGUGCCAUAUUGUACAGUCGCUAUACUACCCCUCCCUCCUCGGCAGGUGCAUCUUGGCGACUUGUCCGGCCAAAACCAGUCGGGUUUUUCCUCCUCUCCCCUUCAGGAGCAGCGGCCGCCUACCAUCCUGAUCCUCCUCCCUCCCGUGUAAUUAAAAUUGUGCACCGAGUCUGGGUUAUUUAUCAGCUUCUGUUUGUUCCUAUUAACUUCAAAAAAGAGAAUCCUCCAUCCUCCUCUCUUGAUCACCUGCCUGUUUGCAGCCAAUUGUCGUUGAGCUUGGCUGUAGGCCCCUUGUGUGCACCUAUGUACAUGUUUAAUGAAAGGGCAUGGAAUAAGAACCUUUUCCUCUUGUAGACAGUCUGAUGAUUCUUGCUGACGAUAACCGGCCAUAGAUUUGACUUUUUUUGGUAUUAUCAUUUUUGUUAGGGAAUGCCAUUCGGCUAGCUUUAUUGAACUUCAAAAACUGAUACAUCAUUUAUCAUCGCUGGCAUGAUAAGACUGGUGGGUCAUCAUCCCACACAUUGGUUUCAAAUUUAUCCUAGCCAGGAUAUGAGCUACUUCAUUUCAUUCUCUGUUACAAUGUUUAUAUUUCAUCUUGGCAAAACUUGUAGCCAGCAAGGUGCAAUCAAAGAAGAUCGCUGCAGCCGCAAAAGCUUCAUAGUUUCAAUCGCAUGUUAUCUGAUU